CGAAUUUUCCCUUCUAUUAGGAAGAAAGGGGAAGGCUUGGGAAUAGGAGAGAGUAAGAUACUAGAAAUUCUUCCUCUGAAGCUCAGUACUAUUUUAAUACUCUCCACAUCACCCCCACUUUUUUUUGACAUGUAACUUAUUUCAAACAAACAAAGUAAAGUAAGCACUGAACUGUAAAUCUAUGAAUGUGGACCUCAGUUUUCUUCAUAUGUAAAGUGAGAAGUUUGGGCUAGUCUCUGAGGUGUCUUCUAUCCUCGUGUACCUGAAAUGACCCAAGCUGCAGACACUGUUCGACACACCUUGUCACUACUGGAGUGGAUGGCCAGGUGAAUAUUCUGGCUUGCUCAUCCUGCUUGCAACAGCUGGGGCUGAAACAGCUUGUGGCAAAUCUCAGGCUACAGAAGGCCUGGUCAAGGACUUACUCGCUGAGCACUGCUUCCUCUCCCUCUUGCUCAGCUUGGUAACAGUAUCAAGGGCAUAGAAACUGCAAGCUCCCCCAGGAUCAGCAAAUGCAUUUUGUUCUUUAGGCUUCUCCUCCUGGUACUCUGCUGCCCUUUCUUCUCAGAAGCCCUACUGGGGCAUUUAGCAGCUCCUUUUAGUCACUUUUGUGUCCAAGGGCUGAUGCCCAUGCAGAGCCUGCUGGCUAUUGACUGACUAAAGUUUGGUGGUGGCCACCUCAUGCCUGCAAACCACCAGGUUUGAGUAUCUUGGGAGAAAGCUCUGGGAUAAUACCCUCCUUGAUGUCAGAGUGUAUGGGGCCUUGUUGAAGAGUUGCCAGGCAGCCAAGAGAAAGUGUUCCACACAUAGAACAGGGGGAGACUUGAAUCCUAGAGAAAACAAAACAAAACCUAACAAAACAGAAAUGAACCCUUGAUGAACCUCUUGCUCUGGACUGGUGCCCUGAAAAUGAAUGAAAUUGUUUUAAAGAUUACCAAGAAGAUAUAAAAUAUCAAAUGCGGCAUUAAUGUAAGAAUCCCCUGAAAACAUGCUGGUAUUUGAAAAUCCUGCAUUCCCAGGAAGGGUGUGCACAUGGAGGAUCCUGACGGUACCUGACUGUGUGCAGAUGCAGCAGCCCAAACUCUGACUCUGACCCUACUUCUGUAUCUUAAGCCCGGUAGAUCCCUUGCAACUAUAUGAUUCCUCUGUCAUCAGUUGGUGAUAAUGGUGCCAGAGAGGGCAGAAUUGUUUCAGAAUUCAGAGAGAGGAUGGCAUGUUAAAACUGGAAGAAAUAUUCUAGAUCAAGACCCUUAUUCAGUAGAUGAGGACAACGAAAGUAGAGAAACAGUGUGCCCGACCCAGGUCUGGCUUACUGAAAUUCCUGGUUGAUGUCUCUGUGCCCCCUAUUCCUGCCCACCUCUCCCACUUCCCGAGAAUGUUUAGUCAUGACAACCAAAAGAGAUUCGUUAAUCAGGGGACCCACUUUGGUGAAAGGAGAUGAUUCUGUAUCAUUAACUGAUUAAAUAAAAC
rnacentral:lncRNA from 1 species